GCGCACCUGUUUCCUACCUCUCAACUGUCUUCGUUUCUGCCUCCUCCUUCAGAGGAGAAGUAACAUUCAUGGAUUCUUAGGGCCAGACAACUCCUUUGCGGCGACUUCAGAAUGUUGAAAAGGUUUUGGAGGUUGCAGGAGCCAGGAGGAGUCAUGGAUGAACUUGUAAAGCCCUAUAAGUCCUAGGAAAGAUGUGGUCCAAAACCGCUGUCUUGAAUUCAUGCAAUUAAUCAAGCUUAUGAAAAUUCAACUGCCUCUGGUCUUUGCAUUCUACAAAUUCCUUAUUCAAAUUGAUAGAGUGAGAAACAUAAAAGGAAUAAUGAGAUUUGCUACAAGAAAGGGGGAUUUAUCAUGCAGCAGUCUGAAAUGAUGUAUAUUUAGAAGCCUCUGUCGAGUUGAGCAGAAAGAGUCGGUGAGAAGCUCUGUUUCAAUGGUCAAAGACUUUCCGGAUUUAGGAAGAAAAAUGCAAGAACAAAGGUGAGUUUAUUUAUACCUUUUUCUUUACGUAUGUUAGAGAAUAUUAAGAAUAUCUUACAAAUCCUUAUCACCUUUGUAAUUUAAUUAACUAGGUUCACAUUACUACUCAGUAGAUUUGAGCUCAUAUUAGUCGUACUAGUAUGAAUAAGGUUACAGCUAGUUUGUUGCACCCAUUAUCUCUCAAUAGAUAGUAAGUAAAAUACACAUUAUUUGUUAAGAACAAAUGGUGAGACUUCUUAAGAACCAAUGUUAUAUAUUGACAAUACAGUUUAUUAG